rnacentral:rRNA from 1 species
AGCUUUCCUAGUGACAGGAUCUACCACCGGGAUGUUCAUAACCCUUUGUUGUCCGACUCUGUUGCCUCCGGGGCGACCCUGCCUUCGGGCGGGGGCUCCGGGUGGACACUUCAAACUCUUGCGUAACUUUGCAGUCUGAGUAAACUUAAUUAAUAAAUUAAAACUUUUAACAACGGAUCUCUUGGUUCUGGCAUCGAUGAAGAACGCAGCGAAAUGCGAUAAGUAAUGUGAAUUGCAGAAUUCAGUGAAUCAUCGAAUCUUUGAACGCACAUUGCGCCCCCUGGUAUUCCGGGGGGCAUGCCUGUUCGAGCGUCAUUUCACCACUCAAGCCUCGCUUGGUAUUGGGCAACGCGGUCCGCCGCGUGCCUCAAAUCGACCGGCUGGGUCUUCUGUCCCCUAAGCGUUGUGGAAACUAUUCGCUAAAGGGUGUUCGGGAGGCUACGCCGUAAAACAACCCCAUUUCUAAGGUUGACCUCGGAUCAGGUAGGGAUACCCGCUGAACUUAAGCAUAUCAAUAAACCGGAGAGAAGCGGAGGAGCUGAUCCGUAUCUAGGCACGAGGAUGUUCAUAACCCUUUGUUGUCCGACUCUGUUGCCUCCGGGGCGACCCUGCCUUCGGGCGGGGGCUCGGGUGGACACUUCAAACUCUUGCGUAACUUUGCAGUCUGAGUAAACUUAAUUAAUAAAUUAAAACUUUUAACAAGGAUCUCUGGUUCUGGCAUCAUGAAGAAGCACGAAUGCGAUAAGUAAUGUGAAUUGCAGAAUCAUGAAAUCAGCAAUCUUUGAACGCCAUUGCGCUCCGGGUAUUCGGGGGGGGCAUGCCUGUUUCGAGCGUCAUUUCACACUCAAGCCUCCCUUGGUAAUUGGGCAACGCGGUCGCGCCCGCGUGCUCCUAAUCAACCGGCGGGGGGUCUCUCUCUCCCCCCCAGCUGUGUGGGAAAAUUAUCCCUUACCGAGUAUCGUAGAGUACCCCCUACAAACACCCUCUUCUGGUGUGGUCGCUCACCAUCGGGGGAACUACCCACACUCUAAUACUAUUUAUACGGGAGAGAUAG